AGCGAAACAGUUAUGGCGUCUAGU
rnacentral:siRNA from 1 species